rnacentral:rRNA from 1 species
GAUGAACGCUGGCGGCGUGCCUAAUACAUGCAAGUCGAACGGCAGCAUGGAGAGCUUGCUCUCUGAUGGCGAGUGGCGAACGGGUGAGUAAAGCAUCGGAACGUACCGUGUAGUGGGGGAUAACGUAGCGAAAGUUACGCUAAUACCGCAUACGCACUGAGGUGGAAAGCAGGGGAUCGUAAGACCUUGCGCUAUACGAGCGGCCGAUGGCAGAUUAGCUAGUUGGUAGGGUAAAGGCCUACCAAGGCGACGAUCUGUAGCGGGUCUGAGAGGAUGAUCCGCCAAACUGGGACUGAGACACGGCCCAGACUCCUACGGGAGGCAGCAGUGGGGAAUUUUGGACAAUGGGGGCAACCCUGAUCCAGCCAUGCCGCGUGAGUGAAGAAGGCCUUCGGGUUGUAAAGCUCUUUCGGCCGGGAAGAAAUCGCACAGGCUAAUACCCUGUGUGGAUGACGGUACCGGCAUAAGAAGCACCAGCUAACUACGUGCCAGCAGCCGCGGUAA